ACACGUUGGACCAGUGGGUCUCGGCCUUCCUGGUGUACGCCAGCGUGCUGUGCGAGAAACACCCGGCGCGCUGCGGAGCCAUGUUCAAGUACCUGGACACUAUCCGCAAGCUGCACGCCACUUACGGGGGCACCUCGUGGAUGAGCUACGACGAGGACUUUCGGCGGCGGGCGGCCAAGGACCCCUCGCUGCCCUGGGGUGACGUCGACCUUGACCUCUGGAUGAAGUGGAUGGCACCCCUCAAGGCGGUCGUCACCAGGCGCUCACGUGUUGAGGUCGAGACGCAGGCCUCGCCGGCACCGCCACCGCCUCAAGCACCAUCCCAGAGCCCCAAGCAGGAGGAGAAAAGCCAGACUCCAUGAAAACAGAAGGCCUGUUGGGAUGGCAGUCAGACUAAGUGGCCUGACUCCGUUGGUGUUUAAGUGGAGCUCUGGUAUUCUAGUGCAUUCUUUUACCUCUGCUUCUGUUGCGUUGCAAGCUGUGCUAGAGAAGACGUAGGAAAUUCAUUUUACCCAAUCAGCAAUUGUAACAAUGGACUACAAACCUGCAGAGCAAGCCAGUUUGCUGGAAAACAGGAAUUCCUGCAGCGCAGCACUUGUCACAGACUAUCCAAAGAGGGCAAAGAUUCAGGAAGGUGAAUAAAUUGAACAUUGGUUGAAUGAGGUCAGGAACAGUCUCCCGGAGGAGAACCCUGCCCUAAAAUACUACUUUGAAAGUAUAAGCCAGUUUAAUGUGCAGAUUAACCCUUCUCAUUUGAGCAAACCUGUGUGCAAUCCUGGAUCUUUGCAGAUCACAACUGGACACUU